UAGGGAAUCUUGGACAAUGGGCGAAAGCCUGAUCCAGCCAUGCCGCGUGAGUGAUGAAGGCCUUAGGGUUGUAAAGCUCUUUCGCCAGGGAAGAUAAUGACGGUACCUGGAUAAGAAGCCCCGGCUAACUUCGUGCCAGCAGCCGCGGUAAUACGAAGGGGGCUAGCGUUGUUCGGAAUUACUGGGCGUAAAGCGCACGUAGGCGGCUUUCCAAGUUGGAGGUGAAAUCCCCGGGCUUAACCCGGGAACUGCCUCCAAAACUGAAAGGCUAGAGUCCGAGAGAGGUGAGUGGAAUUUCCAGUGUAGAGGUGAAAUACGUAGAUAUCUGGAAGAACACCAGUUGCGAAGGCGGUCUCUUGGUCCGACACUGACGCUGAGGCGCGAAAGCGUGGGGAGCAAACA
rnacentral:rRNA from 1 species